AUACGGAGGGUGCAAGCGUUACGCGGAAUCACUGGGCGUAAAGCGCGCGCAGGCGGCUUGAUAAGUUGGAUGUGAAAGCCUACGGCUCAACCGUAGAACUGCAUCCAAAACUGUCAAGCUAGAGUCUGGGAGGGGAAGAUGGAAUUAGUUGUGUAGGGGUAAAAUCCGUAGAGAUAACUAGGAAUACCAAAAGCGAAGGCGAUCUUCUGGAACAGUACUGACGCUGAGGCGCGAAAGCGUGGGGAGCAAACAGGAUUAGAAACCCCAGUAGUCC
rnacentral:rRNA from 1 species